CUUCUUUUAUGUUAGGAUCCAGGUAACCAGACAAAUGGUCUCCAGACUCUCAGGGUGUUCAAACCACAGCAAGAUUUAUUAGGCCAAUAGAGUGACAGAGCAGCAACGUUUCGACCUGCUCCUAGGACUUUGUCAAGCUAACACCACAUAUCAAACUCCGUGUAUAUAUAUAUCUAUUGUGCAAAUUGAUAAUUAACCAAUAAUACAUUUACAUAUACUAAUCAUCUAUAAUAUAUUUACAUCAGUGAUAUAACAAACCAUGCAAACAAAACAGUAAUAUAAAAUACAGUAAGAGCUCACCUCUGUGUGCCUAUAGGAAGAAAGGCAAAAGGGGCAAAAGAAAGAUUAUGUAGAGAUAAAAAAAAAUAAACGCUACUAAGAGUCCUGUGGGUACACUUCCUGUCCGAUGGAACGCAAAGCUGCGUUUAGGAUCCAGGUAAGAGCGACUUUCCCCACUGGAUAAAAUGGCCAUGCAGUUAUGGAUAAGUAUACUAUAUUUAAUAUUUAAUGUUCUUACCUUCUACAUUUUGUAUAGAUUUUUUAAAAUAAAAACCUACUUAUUAGGAUUCCAAAUUUUCUACUAUUUACCAAUAGUUUAAAGGUUUUCUGAGUGCUGGCUGCCCAUUAUCAGAUAGCCCUAUAUCUAGUUAUACUCAUAAUCUCUAAAUCAAUGCAGUGUUAGAGACUUUAAUCAAUUAUAAUGUACAGAGAAUCUUAGAUGUAGACAGUGCUGUGUAACUGAAAAUGCUUGCCCUAUCAAUCUGCUCCUAACAUUUUAAGACAGGAAAUCAGAUAAAGCGAAUUGCUAAAUCAUGAGUUUGCUAACUCAGCAACAGUUACAAAGCAAACAAAAAAAUCCUUUGCUCUUAUAUCUAUGUGUGAAAUAAAAAAUGAAGGGAGAAAACCCAGCUUGUAUAUCCUGUAUAAGGGUAGUGCAAUCUUAGGAACAAAUGUGUAAAACAUUACACAAUACAUUAACCCCUUAAGGACCAAGACUAUUUUGUGAUGCG